UACGUAGGGUCCGAGCGUUGUCCGGAAUUACUGGGCGUAAAGCGCACGUAGGCGGCCCAGCAAGUCGGGUGUGAAAGCCCUCGGCUCAACCGAGGAAGUGCAUUCGAAACUACUGGGCUUGAAUACUGGAGAGGAUCGCGGAAUUCCCGGUGUAGAGGUGAAAUUCGUAGAUAUCGGGAGGAACACCAGUGGCGAAGGCGGCGAUCUGGACAGAUAUUGACGCUGAGGUGCGAAAGCGUGGGGAGCAAACAGG
rnacentral:rRNA from 1 species